AUGCGCGGCGGAGUGCGCUCGCAACUGCUCCUGCAUGGCGUACGCGCACGCCAACCUGAGCAGAGCAGCAGCUCCAGGAGGGACACCACGAGGUGCCUGGUCUGGCUGGGGGACCUCAUCGACGCCAAGAAGUUGGGAGGCAGCGCUGCCGGUAGCGACACGCUGCACCUCCGCGUCGCCGGCGUGGCUACCGCAGGCAGCAACAAGGAGAGAAACACGUUGAAAAUUGUAUUGCCAGUUUUAGCAGGCGUUUUGCUGGUGCUGGCAUGCUUAUCAAUUGUGACAUGGGUUUGCAAGUCCAAAGGCAAUAAACAGAAAGGCAACAAUUUCAAUAGAUUACUUGGGCUAGGAGAUUUGAGCACCUGUGAAGGUUUUGGAACAGGAAGUCCCGCCGACGGUUUUGAGUUUUCACUGGUGAGCUUCAGAGACAUUGCAGCUCUGACAAACAACUUCCACACAUCACAUAUGAUCGGACAAGGCGGUUUCGGCAAAGUGUACAAGGCAGUGUUAGAUGGCCGUGAAGUUGCUAUCAAAAGGCUGAGCAGGAAUUCUGACCAAGGAAUGACAGAGUUCAGAAACGAAGUUGUUCUGAUGGCCAAGCUACAGCAUAGGAACUUGGUUAGCCUUGUUGGUUGCUGCUCCGAGGGAGAUGAAAAGUUGUUGAUUUACGAGUACAUGCCUAACAAAAGCUUAGAUGCUCUCCUUUUCAACAGCUCAAGAGAAACAACGCUAGAUUGGCAAACCCGGUUUCGGAUAAUCAAAGGGGUGGCCAAAGGGCUCCUAUAUCUUCAUCAAGAUUCCAGGUUGAAGAUAAUUCACGGGGAUCUCAAAGCAAGCAACGUUUUGCUGGACCAAGAGAUGAGACCCAAGAUUGCAGAUUUUGGCAUGGCAAGGAUGUUUGGUGAAAACCAACAGAAGGCGGACACGAAGCGAGUAGUGGGAACAUACGGCUACAUGGCUCCUGAAUAUGCAAUGAGAGGCAUAUUCUCUACCAAAUCGGAUGUUUACAGCUUCGGUGUGUUGACAUUGGAGGUUGUAAGUGGCGUGAAGAUAAGCUCUGCUGAUCGCACAAUGGAGUUUGAAAAUCUAAUAGCAUAUGCAUGGAACCUAUGGAAGGUAGGGAAGACGAAAGAUUUAGUGGAUUCUAACAUUGUGGAGAGUUGUGUACAUCAUGACGCUUUGCUCUGCGUCCAGAUGGGGCUCUUGUGUGUGCAGGACAACCCCAAUGAUCGGCCAACCAUGUCAUCUAUCAUGUUCAUCUUGGAGAACAUAAGCGCUACACUUCCCAUCCCCAACCAACCUGUAUAUUUUGCACAUGCGAAGAACGAAGUAGAACAUGUAACAGGCGAUACCCAAAACUCGAAGAACAACCUGACUCUUACAAUUCUAGAGGGAAGGUAA
rnacentral:rRNA from 1 species